rnacentral:rRNA from 1 species
UACGGGAGGGGCGAGUGUUAUUCGAAAUGACUGGGCGUAAAGGGCGUGUAGGUGGUCAGUUACGUCUUAUUGGCAAAGUGUAGGACUUAAUUCUACUAUUCCAUUUGAAACGAACUGACUUUGAGUGAGGUAGAGGACGAUAGAAUUUUUUGUGUAACAGCAAUAUGUUUGUAUACAAAGAGGAAUGCCGAUGCGAAGGCGAUUGUCCAGACCUAUACUGACACUGAAACGCGAAAGCAUGGGGAUCAAAUCGG